UUUAUUUGAUUGAUUUAUGAACUUUUAUGCAUUAAUUGAUAUAGUCUCAUAAUUUUAAGGUGAAUCCCCAUGAACCUAUGCUUAACCCAUGUAUUCUAAAUAUUGAUGAUUGAAAGUGGGUCUUGAACUAUAAAAGGUGAAUUAAGGAAUUAUGCAUGUUCUUGUGGAAUUGAUGAGAUAUGAUAUAUAUAUUGCUUUGAGA
rnacentral:lncRNA from 1 species